rnacentral:rRNA from 1 species
UAGGGAAUUUUGCGCAAUGGGGGAAACCCUGACGCAGCAACGCCAUGUGUGGGAUGAAGCAUUUCGGUGUGUAAACCACUGUCGGCAGGGAAUAAAGCCCACCUUUAUGGUGGGGGUGAAUGUACCUGCAGAGGAAGCCCCGGCUAACUUCGUGCCAGCAGCCGCGGUAAUACGAGGGGGGCAAGUGUUGUUCGGAAUCACUGGGCGUAAAGGGAGCGUAGGCGGGCUCUUAAGUUGGAUGUUUAAAACCGGGGCCCAACCCCGGCGUGGCAUCCAAAACUGGGAGUCUUGAAUGGAACAGAGGCUAGUGGAAUUGGAGGUGUAGCGGUGGAAUGCGUAGAGAUCUCCAAGAACACCCGUUGCGAAGGCGGCCAGCUGGGUCCACAUUGACGCUGAGGCUCGAAAGCAUGGGGAGCAAACAGGAUUAGAUACCCCCGUAGUCC